rnacentral:rRNA from 1 species
GAUGAACGCUGGCGGCGUGCCUAAUACAUGCAAGUCGAACGGACAGGCGCGGCGCUUUCUCCGCUUACGGUAGCGGCGGGUAAGUGAGUGACACGUUGAUAACCUACCUAUGAUACUGGUGUAAAUCCGGGAAACCGGCGCUAAUGCCGGAUAAUCUAUUGGACCGGAGGGUUCAAUCGUUAAAGGCGUUUUUUCUGUCACUUAUCUAUGAGUUCGCGCCGCAUGAGCUAGUUGGUAGGGUAACGGCUUACAAAGGCAGCGAUGGGUAGCCGAGCUGAGAGGGGGAUAGGCGACACGGGAGCUGAGACACGGUCCAGACUACUACGGGAGGCAGCAGUAGGGAAUCGUCCGCAAUGGGCGAAAGCCUGACGCAGCAACGCCGCGUGAGUGAUGAAGGUCUCCGGAUCGUAAAACCCUGUUAUGAGGGAAGAACAAAUGUGUAAGUAACUAUGCACGUAUUGACGGUACCUAAUCAGAAAGCAACGGCUAACUACGUG